rnacentral:lncRNA from 1 species
AAACAAGUUGUCUGUUGCAUUGCAGAUGAGUCUCAUAAUCUUGAUUUUUGCUUUCCACAGUGGCUGAGUGACUGAGCAAAGCAGUUGAGGAAAAGGAUAGAAACCCCUUGGACUUCUCAUUUUGGAGGGAGGAGGACAUCUCGGAGCAAAUCAGGAAAAUACUGGUUGUAAUAGGGAUAUCUUGCAGGGAUAACUGCAAGAAGCAAUUGUAAGUUCGAGGACAGAAGGAAAGGAGCACCUGGCAUCUUGCCUGGAUGUUCACAGCAGUAACUGGCCAUGUUCUGUUUGGAAGGGAGGACAGGUCAGAAAAAUGCUGGAAGCAAGAAAGCCCUUUUGGAUCCCUCUCUACAAGAAGAUGGCACCAGUCACCGCCGCCGAGCAAACAGGGAAAGGAGCGCUGGAGGAGCGCCGCGGCGGCCGCAGCGCGCCCGCCCGCCCCGGCUCCCCCCCCCCCCCCCCCCCCCCCCCCCCCCCCCCCCCCCCCCCCCCCCCCCCCCCCCCCCCCCCCCCCCCCCCCCCCCCCCCCCCCCCCCCCCCCCCCCCCCCCCCCC